ACUCAAAGGAAUAGACGGGGACCCGCACAAGCAGCGGAGCAUGUGGUUUAAUUCGAAGCAACGCGAAGAACCUUACCAGGGCUUGACAUCCCCCUGACAGGCAUUUAACAGUGCCCUCCUCCGGGCAGGGGAGACAGGUGGUGCAUGGUUGUCGUCAGCUCGUGUCGUGAGAUGUUGGGUUAAGUCCCGCAACGAGCGCAACCCUUGUUAUUAGUUGCCAUCAUUAAGUUGGGCACUCUAGUAAGACUGCCGGGGAUAACUCGGAGGAAGGUGGGGAUGACGUCAAAUCAUCAUGCCCCUUAUGCCCUGGGCUACACACGUGCUACAAUGGCCGGUACAACAAGCAGCGAUGCCGCGAGGCGGAGCAAAUCUCAAAAACCGGCCCCAGUUCGGAUUGUAGGCUGCAACUCGCCUACAUGAAGCCGGAGUUGCUAGUAAUCGCAGAUCAGAAUGCUGCGGUGAAUGCGUUCCCGGGUCUUGCACACACCGCCCGU
rnacentral:rRNA from 1 species